UACGUAGGUGGCAAGCGUUGUCCGGAUUUACUGGGCGUAAAGAGCGCGCAGGCGGUCGUCCAAGUCGCGUGUGAAAGCCCCCCGGCUCCAACUGGGGAGGGUCACGCGAUACUGGUCGACUCGAAGGCAGGAGAGGGUAGUGGAAUUCCCGGUGUAGUGGUGAAAAUGCGUAGAUAUCGGGAGGAACACCAGUGGCGAAGGCGACUACCUGGCCUGUUCUUGACGCUGAGGCGCGAAAAGCUAGGGGAGCAAACGGG
rnacentral:rRNA from 1 species